rnacentral:rRNA from 1 species
AGGGACGUCAACUGUUUCCCCUGGGAUGAUAAUGACAGUACCUAGUGAAGAAACCCCGGCUAACUCCGUGCCAGCAGCCGCGGUAAUACGGAGGGGGUUAGCGUUGUUCGGAAUUACUGGGCGUAAAGCGCACGUAGGCGGAUUAGAAAGUUAGAGGUGAAAUCCCGGGGCUCAACCCCGGAACUGCCUUUAAAACUACUAGUCUAGAGUUCGAGAGAGGUGAGUGGAAUUCCGAGUGUAGAGGUGAAAUUCGUAGAUAUUCGGAGGAACACCAGUGGCGAAGGCGGCUCACUGGCUCGAUACUGACGCUGAGGUGCGAAAGUGUGGGGAGCAAACAGGAUUAGAUACCCUGGUAGUCCACACCGUAAACGAUGAAUGCCAGUCGUCGGGUAGUAUACUAUUCGGUGACACACCUAACGGAUUAAGCAUUCCGCCUGGGGAGUACGGUCGCAAGAUUAAAACUCAAAGGAAUUGACGGGA